rnacentral:tRNA from 2 species
CCGCCACUAGCUCAUCCGGACAGAGCAGCAGCCUUCUAAGCUGUUGGUGCGAGGUUCAAACCCCCCGGUGGCGGACCA